rnacentral:lncRNA from 1 species
UGGGUGAGUCUCAUCAGAAGGGGUGGAUGGUCGAAAUCCUCGCAUGAGCAACGCGAUCUGGGACUGCAUCUCCUGUAUAGUCCUAGCCUGCUCCUCCUCUCUAUGUCUCCUGGCCUCUAUCUCCUGCACUGCUCUGGUCAGAGCACUCGCUGUGGUGUCAAGAUCCUCCCUCAAAGUGGUAAACUCAGCCUUUGAAGGAGCAUCGAAGUGUGAGGUGCUGGUGGAGGUGCUCGACUCGCCGUCGCCUGAAGUAAGCGCCUUCGACAUCAUCAUACCUAAUCCCAUGAUGCGCCCCUUCGGAUCAGGAGUGACUACCUCUCGGAAGAUGCGAUCCACGUCGGCGGGUGUGACCUCUCCCUGUAUCUCACGCAGCUCUGCCACUCGCCUCUCGACCUCCAACUACAAUAUAAAAAAUGUUAAGAACAGUUGUAAAAUAGAUUAUUAUAACAAAACAAAUUAAACAUUUGCAAUUAACGUCAUACCCCGUGCUGCGCAGGUCGUCCGGCGGUAUACUGUCCAUUCUUAAAAUGGAUACGUCGAAAGGUAGCCCAAGACGCCGCGUCAAAAGGGAUAUUGCUCUCCCGAGCCUUCAAAAAUACGUUAAAGUAAAGUAACGAUUUAAUAGACAUAAACCCAUUAGAAAUAAAAUUUAGAAUGUAAAGUUACCAAAUAGCUCAGCAUGAUCCAGAGCGCUAUGCGACCCCCCCAUCGAUGGAUAGCCAUCCCUGUACCCAACACCGCAAGGCUCAGAACGGCGAUUCCUAGACGCUUGUGCAGACCUUGCCUGACGUCUCAGGCAAUCGACCCAAUAACGCCCUCCAAGCAGCCUCAACAAUAGGAUUGAGAUAAUCAAUCUUCUUCUUGUGCAAUAAGAGGGUUUUCUUGCAUGCACAAAUAUAAUCCUUAUAUGCCACUCGAGCCUCUGAGAUCCACGCCUUCUUAAUUUGUUGUCUGGUAUAUUUAUCUUUUUGCCAACAAAAUGCUUUCUGUUUAAAGUUAUUGAAAAUAACAGUAAAAUUAGUAUUUGUGAGUGUUCAUUUAGAAUAAGACAUAAUUAUAUAUUAGAUGAUUAUACCUAAAAAUUCAUCGAAGUACACGUCCUUCAUCUCCUCAGUCAAAUCCUUCCAAUUCGUGCCACUUUCAUGUGGCAUUCCUUGGAAGCUAUCAGUAGCCCUAGCCCGAAUAGGUCCACUCGNUUUUCGGUCGUUGGUUAACGACCGAAAUGUUCGGUCGUUGGUAUUCCGGCAGUCUUACCGGGCUUCCCCCACCGGCACUAUUAACGACCGAAAAUUCGGUCGUUAAUCAACGACCGAAUUUUCGGUCGUUGAAUACAGUUAAUACAGUUAUGAGACCUUGACCGAAGAUUGUUCUACGACGAAAUUCGUCGUUAUUUUUAUUUUAUUUUUUAUUUAUUAUAUAUAUAUAUAUUCAGAUUAUUAGUAUACUAUUAUUAUAUUUUCCAUAACAUAGCAAUAUAUAAAUGAUUCAUAAUAAUCGUAGUCCCAAAUCAUGAAAAUACUAAAAACAAAUAAUCAUCCCAUAACAAAGUAGAAAAUCCUAGAAAAUAUCAACAAAAACAGAAAUUCAGUAUUCAAAGCAUAAAAAGUACAUCAAAACAUAGUCAGCAUAAUCAAAGGUCUGGGUGAGUCUCAUCAGAAGGGGUGGAUGGUCGAAAUCCUCGCAUGAGCAACGCGAUCUGGGACUGCAUCUCCUGUAUAGUCCUAGCCUGCUCCUCCUCUCUAUGUCUCCUGGCCUCUAUCUCCUGCACUGCUCUGGUCAGAGCACUCGCUGUGGUGUCAAGAUCCUCCCUCAAAGUGGUAAACUCAGCCUUUGAAGGAGCAUCGAAGUGUGAGGUGCUGGUGGAGGUGCUCGACUCGCCGUCGCCUGAAGUAAGCGCCUUCAACAUCAUCAUACCUAAUCCCAUGAUGCGCCCCUUCGGAUCAGGACUGACUACCUCUCGGAAGAUGCGAUCCACGUCGGCGGGUGUGACCUCUCCCUGUAUCUCACG